UCGUUCUUCAUUUCUUCUCAGUCUCAUUCUUCAGAGAAGAGAGAGAAGCGAGUAGAGACUCAGAGAGAGGAGAGAAAAAAAGUCUCCCCGUCGCCGACGCCCUCCUCCUCGACCUCGCCUCGCCUCGCCGCGCCUCGACUUUCCCCUCACCUUGCGUUGCCUCACGCACCUAGACCUCGCCCUCGCCUCUUGUUUCUCCUCGUCGUCGGGGAGGUGGUGGUGGUGGUGGUGGUCGCGUUUCCAGCAUCACCGCCACGCCUCCCUUUCUCUUCCCUCCCUAAUAUCCGCUAUCCAGAUUUACUACCACCACCACCAAGCAACUCCACCGUCACUGCCAUCAUAGUGGUUUCCGUCGAGGCUGAAGGAGGUUGAUGCUGAGCUGCUUCUCUCCUUUCGUCGCUGAUGCUACUGCAUGCAACCACCUUCUCUAAUCUUUGUUCUUAUUUUUGUUAUGUUCUUGUUUCUGGAUUACUGUUACCUUUUUAAUUUUCUAUUUUUUUUAAUCUGAAUAUAUUGUUGUUCUUGUUGGAUUUAAAGAAUAAUUUUUGCUUUUGUUUUGUUCUAAUGUUGUUUUUGAAUUGCUUGAUGCUGUUACUUUUUUCAUUCUUUUUGGUUUUUUUUUUUAAUUCUGAAUCUGUGAUUAUUGUUGUUGGAUUUGAAGAAUUUGAAGAAGAAGAAAAAGAUCUGAAUUGCUUGAUGCUGUUUUUUUUUUAUU